UGAUAAGGGUCUCUACAACUCAAUUGUCAUGGUCUAUCUGAUAAGGGUCUCUACAACUCAACAUAUAGUUUAAUAGUACCCCAAUCAACAUGGCAUGAUCUGCAGUUUGUUAGAUAACAAAUAUGUUUCGUGAAAUGGAAAUACGUGGGCGUGUGGCUAUCCCCACAAAAAGCCUGGACAGAAAUGGAGUGGUCCCCCAAAGUUCAGUUGUGACAGGCCUCUAAAAGGAAUUGCUGCUCAUUAAGUCCACAGAGGAGCAUGGUUGCUUCCUUGCAAUAACCGAACUGAAGAGCAUAGGCAAUGGUGAGUUUGAAGAUGAAUCAGGGGACGUCCUCUUCUCGGUGGCCUUUCACUGUCGCACCUUCCUACCUGUCAAUGGAGAGAUCAUGCUUGGAGUUGUGCACAAGAUACAUAGAAGGGGGGUCUUCUUGAGAUGUGGACCCAUGAAAUAUAUUUAUCUAUCAGCUCAAAAGAUGCCAAAUUUCUACUAU